AAAGGAAUUGACGGGGGCCCGCACAAGCAGUGGAGUAUGUGGUUUAAUUCGACGCAACACGAAGAACCUUACCAGGUCUUGACAUCCAUAUAAUCUUCAAGAGAUUGAGGAGUACCUUUUCGGAGGGAAUAUGAGACAGGUGGUGCAUGGUUGUCGUCAGCUCGUGUCGUGAGAUGUUGGGUUAAGUCCCGCAACGAGCGCAACCCUUGCUGUUAGUUACUACGAAAGAGGACUCUAGCAGGACUGCCGUUGAAAAAACGGAGGAAGGUGGGGAUGACGUCAAAUCAUCAUGCCCUUUAUGACCUGGGCUACACACGUACUACAAUGGCCACUACAGAAGGAAGCAAACCAGAGAUGGGGAGCAAAACGCAAAAAGAGGUCACAGUUCGGAUUGUAGGCUGCAACUCGCCUACAUGAAGAUGGAAUUGCUAGUAAUCGCAGAUCAGAAAGCUGCGGUGAAUACGUUCCCGGGCCUUGUACACACCGCCCGU
rnacentral:rRNA from 1 species